GUUAUAAAGUAGGUUUAAAUACAAAUUAAAAACAAAUAUCCAAAAAUUAAUGGUUUGUGUUA
rnacentral:tRNA from 1 species